rnacentral:rRNA from 1 species
GACGAACGCUGCCGGCGUGCUUAACUCAUGCAAGUCGAACGGAAAGGCCCUGCUUUUGUGGGGUGCUCGAGUGGCGAACGGGUGAGUAACACGUGAGUAACCUGCCCUUGACUUUGGGAUAACUUCAGGAAACUGGGGCUAAUACCGGAUAGGCGCUCCUGCUGCAUGGUGGGGGUUGGAAAGUUUCGGCGGUUGGGGAUGGACUCGCGGCUUAUCAGCUUGUUGGUGGGGUAGUGGCUUACCAAGGCUUUGACGGGUAGCCGGCCUGAGAGGGUGACCGGCCACAUUGGGACUGAGAUCCGGCCCAGACUCCUACGGGAGGCAGCAGUGGGGAAUAUUGCACAAUGGGCGGAAGCCUGAUGCAGCAACGCCGCGUGCGGGAUGACGGCCUUCGGGUUGUAAACCGCUUUCGCCUGUGACGAAGCGUGAGUGACGGUAAUGGGUAAAGAAGCACCGGCUAACUACGUG